GCAUAUCAAUAAGCGGAGGAAAAGAAACCAACAGGGAUUGCCCUAGUAACGGCGAGUGAAGCGGCAACAGCUCAAAUUUGAAAUCUGGCGCAAGCCCGAGUUGUAAUUUGUAGAGGAUGCUUCAGGGCAGCGGCCGGUCUAAGUUCCUUGGAACAGGACGUCAUAGAGGGUGAGAAUCCCGUAUGCGACCGGUUGGCACCCGUCACGUAGCUCCUUCGACGAGUCGAGUUGUUUGGGAAUGCAGCUCUAAAUGGGAGGUAAAUGCCUUCUAAAGCUAAAUACCGGCCAGAGACCGAUAGCGCACAAGUAGAGUGAUCGAAAGAUGAAAAGCACUUUGGAAAGAGAGUUAAAAAGCACGUGAAAUUGUUGAAAGGGAAGCGCAUGCAACCAGACUUGCCGGCGGUGUUCAACCGGUCUUCUGACCGGUCUACUCGCCGCCGGCAGGCCAACAUCAUUUGGGAGCGCCGGAUAAAGGUGGGAGGAAUGUGGCCCCUCGGGGUGUUAUAGCCUCCUACGCAAUACGGCGCCUCCCGAGUGAGGUCCGCGCUUCGGCUAGGAUGUUGGCGUAAUGGUUGUCUGCGGCCCGUCUUGAAACACGGACCAAGGAGUCUAACAUCUAUGCGAGUGUUCGGGUGUCAAACCCCUACGCGUAAUGAAAGUGAACGGAGGUGGGAACUUUUUGUGCACCAUCGACCGAUCCUGAUGUCUUCGGAUGGAUUUGAGUAAGAGCAUAGCUGUUGGGACCCGAAAGAUGGUGAACUAUGCCUGAAUAGGGUGAAGCCAGAGGAAACUCUGGUGGAGGCUCGCAGCGGUUCUGACGUGCAAAUCGAUCGUCAAAUUUGGGUAUAGGGGCGAAAGACUAAUCGAACCAUCUAGUAGCUGGUUCCUGCCGA
rnacentral:rRNA from 1 species